CGCACGGGUGAGUAACGCGUAGAUAAUCUACCUUUAAGACUGGGACAACGGACCGAAAGGUCCCCUAAUACCGGAUACGCUCUUUUUUAACAUAAGUUAGAAAGAAGAAAGAUGGCCUCUCCUUGGAAGCUAUUGCUUGAAGAUGAGUUUGCGUACCAUUAGCUAGUUGGUGGGGUAAGAGCCUACCAAGGCUACGAUGGUUAGCGGGUCUGAGAGGAUGAUCCGCCACACUGGAACUGAAACACGGACCAG
rnacentral:rRNA from 1 species